rnacentral:lncRNA from 1 species
GUCCAUGGAACUCCCCUGUGCUCCGCAGAAGCUGAGAAUAACCCCAAUAGUCUCUAAGCAAAUCAGGGGAGCUCUGAAACGGCGCCCCCUGCAUCACCGUCGGAGAAUAACCAGUUACUGCUGGAACAUCAACGGAGCCCGAGAGUGAGGUGGCCGGAAAAUCGGGAAGGUGAGGAGGUCGAACCGCAGUAACGUUUUCGGGGAAGUUGAGUUUGGCUCUGUUACCUCUAAACCUCAAUGCGGCCUCAUCGUAGGCUCUGGCAGCAGCCUCGGCGGUGUCGAAGGUGCCAAGCCACACUCUCGCCGCUUUGUGAGGAUCGCGAAUCUCCGCCGCCCAUUUCCCCCACGGCCUCUGCCUCACCCCUCUGUAUCUCCUCCUCCUCUCGCCGCUUUCUUCCUGUGACGCAGUCUGUGACGAACCACCCUCACCCCCACUCGCCGCAGAAGUAGUGUCAUCUUCA